UUAUAAACUGGAAAGAUUCGCCGUCAUGCAUGUUGUUGCUUAGCCUAAUCUUUCUUAGUUCUCCAUCGCUGAUAGGCUUGUAUAGACGUGGAUGUUCAGCAUCCACAAAUUCACUUGGAGGCUCAACAACUUCAUCCAUUGGUGUUAAUAGGAAGGUGGAGGUGGUAAUCCUCAUUUUUGCUUCUUUGCAUUGCACUCUAUGCUUCACAUUGCACAUCCUCCCAUUGCUCCAUAUCUAUUAAGAAAGUUUCAAAAACCAACAGCUAAAACCGAGUUUUUGUGGUUUAAAGUCAAAACAUUAUUGAACUAUUAGUGAUGAUUUUUUUCUCUUACCUUAGCUAUGUCACCAAGGUUGACAGUAAGUGUGUUUGGUGACGUGUUUAUGGGGUAAUAGGUUCCUGAAGAAUGGUCCAUGGCCUCAAGUCCACCAACAUUGUCAUCACCGUGAACAAUUGUUAAAAAUCCAGGAUCCGUGUGUGUUAUCAAACCAUUUUUACCAACUGUUUCAGGAUUGAAAUGAUAUUUGCUAAUCCGAAACUGGCUCGGCCAUUCUUUGCAUAUAUCGGGAUCCGCUAAUUCAUAACUCCUUGCUAACAUCCUUGUUAAAUCUUUUGCAAGACCAUCCAUAGCUUUGCCAUACUUCACCAUGAUCUCUCUACAACCAAAAAAAGAAAAGAAAAAUCCCAUCAUAAACCGGAUAUUUAUUUAACAAAAACAUUGAACCGAAAAGCGGAUUAGGUACAAACAUAACAAGAAUCCUUGGAGGCAAAAAUAAUAAAAACAAACAUACAGGAACAGAGAAAUACUAUUUGCUAUUUAAAUAUAGAGAAAAUAGAGAUUACUAUUUUUGUAAAAAAAAAUGGUUUGAAGUAGAGUUAUUAUAUAGUUAAAUAUAGAGAUGCACUAGAAAUGUUAUAAACGACAGUCGUAUAAGAGUGAAAAGCAAACGAACCUUUGUUCAGCAGAGGCCUCAAGUUUGUCACAAAAAGUGUUAAUCGCUUGUGGAGAGGCGACGUCAAAAAGACCGAACGAUUCAUAAAGAGGAUUUAACUCACUUCUAGGCUUGUAACCACUUGAUAGUAUCACAUCAGUGUUUCGUAUUUUCACCUCGUGUGGACGUUCAUGGAGAUCUGUAACAGUCUUCUUCAUCUCAGACAACAAAGACGAAGAAACUCCAUGGUUGAUCACCUUGAAACAUCCCCAUCUCUCACUCGCCUCACGUAUCCGCUGGUUCAGCUUCUCAUCCGGAACCCCUUUCAACUCUAUUGUCGGAAUGACUUCAUUGAGAUCAGCCAUUAUGUUUUCUCUCAGUAAGUAUAUAUAUGAUAGGUAUUGUUUUCUUUGUCUUCAGGACAAGCCAUUGCACAAACUUAAAUAGAAGACCAUCCUCCGCGAGAAGGACGUAAUUAAUGAUGUACAGGAUUUGCCUUCUGCACCAAAAAGAUUUAUUUGUCUGAUCUCUUUCCUAAUCUAAUCAGUGAGGUAGUUGGAUUCGUGAUGGGACUUUCAGCAAAUCAGAGGAAAAAUGUUUAUAAAUCUGUAUGAUCGUAACUAAAUGAUGAAUAAGUGUCCAAAAAAGGGAAGAACGUGAAACACGUGACAGAUAAUAAUAUCAUACUAGGUAAUUAUUGAAUCACAAGGUUUAAUAAGAAGUCCUUCUCUUAUUCAAUAUCAAAGCUCAAUCAAGCAAUCACAAUCACAAAAUCACAAGUCAAUCUCAUCACACGAUAUUGUCUAUUUAUAUCACAUAGACAAUAUCCUAUUCCUAGUUGAUAAGCCUCAAUAUAUUAUGAUCAUUAUCCAAACUCACAAAUCAUAAUUCAACUAGGAAAACAUAUAACUUGUCUCUCAAGGUUUCUUCAAGCUAACUCCAACAUACUCCCCCUUAAGCUUGAACUCACUCACAUCUUUAAUUCCAAUCAAACUUCUCAUUUGCACGAACUUAGUCCUUCCAAACGGCUUGGUCAGUAUGUCGGCUUUCUGCUCACUGCCAGGUACAUGCUCAACCUCAACCUGUUCAUUCUCAACGCAUUCUCGUAUAAAAUGGAACCUCCUAUGUAUGUGUUUACUUCGGCCGUGAAACACAGGAUUCCUUGCAAGUUGUAUCGCAGAUUUGUUGUCAACUCUAAUGACCACCCGUAUGCAAGCUUCAUUCAUGACUUCACUCAGCAACUCUUCAAGCCACACGGCUUGUUUUGCAGCUUCAGUAGCCGCCAUAAACUCUGCUUCACAGCUCGACAAAGCCACUAUCUCUUGCUUGGUAGAGCACCAGGUUAUAGGACUGUUUCCUAAGUAAAAGAUAUGCCCACUCGUGCUCUUACCAUCAUCUAUAUCCAGGUUAUGCGAGCUGUCACUGUAACCAACCAGUUUCACAUCCUUUUCCCGAUAGAAUCGCAGUCCAAGAUCACAUGUGCCCCGUAAGUACCUUAAGACUUGUUUCAAUGCGGCUCCGUGAGAUUCUUUUGGCUCCUGCAUAUACCUGCUUAGUACACCAACACUGAAGGAUAGGUCUGGACGUGUGUGUAGCAAAUAUCGCAGACAGCCAAUACUGCGACGGUAAGCCUUCUCGUCAACUUUCUUCUCAUCUGAUGCUUUAGACAGGCUUAAGUUCAUCUCCAUAGGUAUGUGUGUAUGGUUACACGAAGCCAUGCCUGUCUCCUCUAGUAUCUUCAGUGCAUAUCGGUUUUGUUUCAAAGUAAUUCCAUUUUCUUCUUGGCAAACUUCUAUACCUAAGUAGUAAGUCAACAUCCCAAGAUCACUCAUUUCAAAUUUGGUGGCCAUCUCUUGUUUAAACUCUUCUAUCAGUUCAAGUGAUGAUCCCGUAACCAGCAAGUCAUCUACGUAUACGACUACAAGAAGAGGAUUGUUGCAUACUUCCUUCCGAUAAAGCGAUGGCUCCUUCAAGCAUCGAUGGAACUUCAGACCUUGCACUAAUAUGCGAUUUAACUUCAGAUUCCAAGCUCUUGGCGCUUGACGCAGGCCGUAAAGAGCCUUCUUAAGUUUGUAUACCUUGCUUUCGUGGUUUUUGACAACAAACCCUUGUGGCUGACUCACAUAUACUUCUUCUCUCAGGUCACCAUGAAGGAACGCGGUUUUGACGUCUAGAUGGUGUAUCAUCCAACCUUUUGAAGCAGCUAACCCAAUAAUCAGACGUAUAGUCUCAAUACGAGCCACAGGAGCGAAGACCUCAUCAUAAUCAAUGCCAUGUUUUUGCACAUACCCUUUUGCUACCAAACGAGCCUUGAACUUAUUAAUGCUUCCAUCUGCGUUUCGCUUGACCUUAAAGACCCACUUGAGACCAAUCGGCUUAGCUCCUGUAGGUAAGUCAACGAGAUCCCAAGUUUUAUUCUUCUCUAUCGAACUGAUCUCGUCUUUACAUGCAUCUACCCACACCUUUAGCCUCUUAGCUUCAUCAUAAUCCCACGGUUCUUCAUUUACUAUCAUCAACAGCCGUUCACUUUCGAUCUCACACAUCAAGAUGUAGUCCUCAAGGUAGGCGGGUUUUGUACUUACACGCUGUGAUCUCCUUGGUUGUUGAUGAUCAUCAUCUUCGCUGGAGCUUUCAUCAUGAGCUGAUUCACUGUCGUUCUCCUCUGCUACUGCCGUUUCAUCAAUUUCACCGACUGCAUUGUCUUCAUUACCAUCAGUAUUGCCAUUUGAUCCAAGGUUCACAAUAAAUUCCCCAGGCUCUGUGUGCUCUGUUUCAUCUUUCUCGUACCAGUUCCAUUCCUUUUCCUCAUUGAAGUGGACAUCACGGCUCACACGUAUCUUCUUUGUACUAGGGUCGAGCAAGCUAUAUGCUUUUGACCCUGGUUCAGUUCCCAAGUGGACCAGUUUUCUCGAUCUAUCAUCAAGCUUUCUCCUUCCUGGUGUUUCUGUUCUCUCAUAACACACGCAUCCAAACACCUUGAUAUGGCUAACAUUUGGUUUUCGUGAUCGUAGCAUCUCGUACGGAGUCUUGCCAUCCAAAGUCUUUGUUGCCAGUCGAUUGAUCAGAUAUGUGGAGUGUCUCACAGCUUCACCCCAUAGCUCGUUUGGAACAUUCAUAUGUUUUAACAAACUCCUUGUCAUCUCCAGAAGUGUGCGAUUGCGUCUCUCGACAACGCCAUUUUGCUGAGGGGAGUACGGUGCUGUCAAGUGUCGUUGGAUGCCAUUAGUUUCACAGUAGACACUGAACUCUUGAGAUAUAAACUCUCCCCCCCUGUCUGUUCUCAACAUCUUGAUUCGGUUUUGUGUUUCUAGCUCGAUCAUCCUUUUAAAGCUUUUAAACUUCUCAAAUGCCUCACGUUUUUCUCUUAGUAACACGGUCCACAUAUACCGUGUGUGAUCAUCAAUAAGCACCAGUACGUAUCUCUUUUGAGCAGGUGUUGACGGUGAUAUUGGACCACACAAAUCUCCAUGAAUCAGCUCAAGUGGACUCGAUGCACGGAAAUUUGUUGCUUGUGGGAAAGGUUUUCUUGCUUGCUUUCCAAGUAAGCAGGACUCACAGGUUUCUUUCUUGAUCGCAACAUUCGGUAAUCCAUCAACAAAGUCCCUUUUCACCAUUAGCUUCAGUGUUUGGAGAUUAACAUGUCCAAGUCGAGCAUGCCAUAAGCUUGACUAUGUUGCAGAUUUUAUUUGCAGACAUUGAACUGUAUCAACAGACAAAACUACCUUGUAGAGCCGGCUUGGAGAUCGUGUAGUCUGGACCAUGAGCUCUCCAUGCUUAUCAAACAAGCUAAGUGUGUUGUUUUUCAUACGAACCUCACAACCCACCUCAGUGGCUUGUCCCAAGCUGAUAAUAUUGCUCUUUAGGCCAGGGAUGUAGUAAACAUUGCUCAAGAUCUUCUUCUCUCCUCCUUCAAAAACAAAGCGUGUAGAUCCCUUACCUCUUAUAUCAAUUCGAGAAUCGUCACCAAACCUUACUUUCCCGGUCACAGUUUCAUCAAGUUUGAUGAAAAACAAUCGUUCUCCACACAUAUGGUUUGAAGCUCCAUUGUCAAGGUACCAUACCUUUUCUGUAUCAUGACUAGAUUCAAAUAUAGAAGGAUUUACCUUCCUCUCAUUGAGAUAAACUAUCUCAUGUACCAUUAAUUCAUCAGCUUCCUCAGUGUCAUCAUCCUUUUUUCCAACAUUCUCUUGGACUUGCAGCAGUUUAUCUGGACAAUCACUAGCAUAGUGACCCUGUUUGUCGCAGCUAAAGCAUGUUAUAUGAGAGUUAUCUCUGCCUCGACCUUGCUUAUACGCAUCUCUUUGAGCAGAGAACGUUCCAGCACGGCCACGGCCUCUACCUCUCCAUGUAGAACGUCCGCCACGUCGCCUGCCUCUGCCAUAUGACUCAGAGCUUGCGUACAUCAGUUUGUCUUUAUCAUCUUGUGCGCUUUCUUCUUCAUCUUCUUCAUUGAUCCUUUCUUCAAAGGCCUUUAACCGACCAACAAUAUCCUCAAAAGUUGUUGUGUUGAGAUCCAAAAACUGUUCUAGAGAAGCAACCAUGUGAAUAUAGCUCUUCCUAGGUAAGCUUUUGAGAAAUUUCUUCACAAGCUUUGUCUCUUCCAUUAUCAUUCCCAAAGAUGCAGCCUUUGAUGAGAUUUCCGAUAGUUUACCAGAGAAUGUAUCAAUAGUAUCUUCAUCUUUCAUCUUCAGUUUAUCAAACUCCACCAUUAGAGUUUGGAGUCUAGCCUCCUUUACCCUCUCAGCCCCAACAUACCUAGCUUUUAUUGCCUCCCAUACUUCCUUUGCUGUCGACAUGUCGCCAACUUGGAGAGUCAAUACUUCAGGUAUAGAUUGGCAUAUGAGUACCAUAGCUAGGUUAUUCUUCUUCUCAUCUUUGUUUCCCGGAUCAAUUGUUUCCCAUACUUCAUUAACCUUAAGUGCUAGCUUCAUUCUCAUGGACCAGACGGUAUAGUUUGAAGAAGUUAACAUUGGGUAUUUGAUAGAGGAUGUUCCAAUACCUUUAGUCGCCAUUGUUUCUUCUUUUACAUCUGCCAUGUUUGUUGAACUUAGUUCUCAAGCUUUAAACCCUUAAAGCUCUGAUACCACGUAUUGAAUCACAAGGUUUAAUAAGAAGUCCUUCUCUUAUUCAAUAUCAAAGCUCAAUCAAGCAAUCACAAUCACAAAAUCACAAGUCAAUCUCAUCACACGAUAUUGUCUAUUUAUAUCACAUAGACAAUAUCCUAUUCCUAGUUGAUAAGCCUCAAUAUAUUAUGAUCAUUAUCCAAACUCACAAAUCAUAAUUCAACUAGGAAAACAUAUAACUUGUCUCUCAAGGUUUCUUCAAGCUAACUCCAACAGUAAUAACCCGUGCUUUGCGCAGAUGUGAUUAUUAGUUUUUUUAUUUUUAAUAAAAAAACAUUAAAUCUGUUUAAUCUGGAUAUUGGUUCGGUUUUAAAUUUUUUUUUUUGGUUUUUAAUUUUCUAAAAUAUAACUAUUAGUUUUAAUUAAUAUUUAUUUUAGUUUAUUCGGUUAAAAUGUUUGAUUUUUUGGUAUUUUCUAAUAAAAACCAAAAAUUAAUAUUAUUUUUUUAUUUUCAUGUUAUGAAUUUUAGAUAGUCAUUAUGUCGAACCAAUAAUUUCAUAUUAUAGUUUUUAAACAGAUACUAAUUUAAUAAUAAUAAAAAUUAUUAAGACAAAUCAUUUCACUACAGUUUGGUAAAUAGUGAAAGAAGCAUUAAGAAAAAAUAUUUCAACUUUCGAAAAACUAGAUACUUCAGUUAUGGUGAAUACUUAGUUACAAGAUGCUCACAUCAAGAAGCACAUGUAUGUGUAUGUAAAAAGUAUAUAAAAAUAGUUGACAAAUAUAUUAAUAUAUUGUUAAUUAAUAUUAAAUGAUAUUUUUGUUCAAAAUAAUACAUGAAAGAUAAAAUUAAAAUUAAUUUAAAAUAAAAAAGGCCUUGACAUUAGUCAUUUUUCAUAUAAAGAAAAUAAUAUUGUAUCCGUAAAUAGGGGUGAGCACAUAUCGAAUAUCUGGGUAUUUGAAAACAUUCGUGUUGAUUCGAUCUUUAGCCACCUAGAUAUUUGGUGACUCGAAUAUACGAAAUAUUUUAGAAUUUUAAAGAAUAUCCAAUUUGAUCCGUAAAUAAAAUAAAAUUUUAAAAAUAAUUGAAUUUUAAUAAUAACAAUUUAUUACAAAAUAAAGCAUUAUUUAAUUUUUUUAAUUCUAGUACCUAAUAUAAUGUAUUUAAUUCAUACAAAUAUUGUCAAGUUGAUAUAAAGUAUAAUAUAUAUAACAUAUAUAUAUAUAAUUCUUUACAUAUAUGUAUAUAUAUAUAUAUGCAUAUAUCAGAUCGAAUUAAAUAUAUGUUCUUAAAAAUAUUGGUAUUUGUGAUUUGCUUCUUUUUUGGUUAUUAUAUUUUAGUAUUUGAUUUGUUUCGUAGAGUUACGGAUAUCCAGAUUUUUUUGUUCAAAUCAAAACGGAGAACGAAUCGAAUCAAAAUUUAUGAAUAUUUUGCUCAACUUUAUUCGUAAACAAAUAAAAAUAAUAUAUAUAUAUAAUUUGGCUUUUGAUUCAUUAUCUAUUUUUAUUCGAACCGAAAAAUCAAGAGUUUUAUUGGAACCAUGUAUGUGAGUUUUAUACUAUAAAAGUGUAAAAUACAUAGUGUGAACACAUUUAUAAAUAUAGUGUGUACGCGUUAGGAUACUUAUUAUCAAAUCAUUGUGAAGUGUCACAUGUUUAUUAUAGUGUGAAUGCAUUUAUUACAAUGCUUCUCUUUUAAUAUAUAUAAGGUAAUAAUUCACGCCUUGCGCAAAAUGUGAUUAUUAGUUUUGUUAUUUUUAAUAAAAAAAACAUUAAAUCUGUUUAAUCUGGAUAUUGGUUCGGUUUUAAGUUUUUUUCUCGUUUUUAAUCUUCUAAAAUAGAACUAUUAUUUUAAAUUACUAUUUAUUUUAGUUUAUUCGAUUAAAAUGUUUGAUUUUUUGGUUUUUUCGGGUAAAAACCAAAAACUAAUAUUAUUUAUUUAUUUUCAUGUUAUGAAUUUUAGAUAGUCGUCAUGUGGAACCAAUAGUUUCAUAUUAUAGUUUUUAAACAGAUACUAAUUUAAUAAAAAAAAAUAUUAAGACAAAUCAUGUCAUUACAAUUUGGUCGAUAGUGAAAGAAGCAUUAAGAAAAAAUAUUUAAACUUUUAAAAAACUAGAUACUUCAGUUGUGGUGAAUACUUAGUUACAAGAUGCUCACAUCAAGGUGCACAUGUAUGUGUAUGUAAAAAUUUUAUAAAAAUAGUUGACAAAUAUAUAAAGAUAUUGUUAAUUAAUAUUAAAUACCAUUUUUGUUCAAAAUAAUACAUGAAAGAUAAAAUUAAAAUUAAUUUAAAAUAAAAAGACCUUGACAUUAGUCAUUUUUUAUAUAAAGAAAAUAAAAUUGUAUUCAUAAAUAGGGAUGGGCACAGAUCAAAUAUCUGGGUAUUUGGAUGCAUUCAUGUCGAUUCGAUCCUUAGCCACCUAGAUAUUCGGUGACUCGGAUAUCCGAAAUGUUUUAGAUUUGAUCCGUAAAUAAAAUAAAAUUUUCAAAAUAAUUGAAAAAUUUAUUAAUAACAUUUUAUUACAAAAAUAAAACAUUAUUUAAUUUUUUAAAUUCUAGUACUAAUAUAAUAAAUUUAAUUCACAAAAAUAUUGUAAAACUUAUAUAAAGUAUAAUAUAUAUAACAUAUAUAUAUAUAUAUAUAAUUCCUUACAUAUAUAUAUAUGCAUUUAACAGAUUGAAUUAGAUAUGUGUUCCUAAAAAUAUUGGUAUUUGUGUUUUGCUUAUUUUUUUGGAUAUUGUAUUUUAGUAUUUGAUUUGUUUCGUACGAAUAUCUAUAUUUUUUUGUUCAAAUCAAAACGAAUAACGAAUCGAAUCAAAAUUUAUGAAUAUUUUGUUCAACUUUAUCUGUAAACAAUAAAAAUAAAUGACGUUGCUAUAUUUAUUUUUCACAAUAAAUAUUGAAAUAGAUUAAAGAAAGUUAUUCCCCUAUUAACUAUUUCACCGGGAAUUUUAUAUUGUAAUAAGGUAAGUCAUUACAAACGAAUUAAGAAUUUAGAAACAUUAAGGUAAAUUGGCAUUUAAAAUUUUAAUAAAUGUGAUAAUAACUUGGGCAAGAAAUGUUUAAAAUAAAUAAGGUAACUUACAUUUAAACUAUUCAUAAGUUACUUUGCAACUUGCGCAAGAAAAAAAAUUUUUUUCAUAAGUUAUUUUGCAAAAUAAAUAAGGUAACUUACAUUUAAACUAUUCAUAAGUUAUUUUAAAAUUCUGAUAAAUUUAUUCUUUAAACAACGAUAAAUAAUUUAAAAAUAAUAUUAAUAAACAUGUUUGGAUUUUGUUAUAUUUAAAAUAGUUAUUAUAUAAUUAUAUUCAAAUACAAUUCCUCAAGUAGAGUAUAAAACUAUUAUAAUUAUCUUAUAUAAAAUUUCGUUCAUUAUAUUUUAUAGUUUAUAAAUAUUGAAAGUGAUAAAUAAAACAUUAUUAAUCUUUCUAUAAUUUCGAGAAUUAGUUUCCAUAAAUUGUUAUUUGUAAUAUUUUUUAUAUUAUAUAACAAGUGAUGUUAAAUUAUUUUAGACUUACCUUAAAUUUUUAUAUCUAAAUUAAAUAAAUAAAAAUUAAGAACAAUCGACCAAUCAAAUUAUAACAAUUAAAUUGAAACUUCACCCUAUGAGUGACACGUCACCAGAAAUCACUAAAGUGACUUCUCUUUUAAUAUAUAGGGGAUGAUUUAUAUAGUUUCCUUUCUUCCAUUAACUAAAGUGUAAAAGCGAAAACUUUACUCUUUAACCUUUUGAAAUCUAUCUGAGCUCGGAGAAUUCUCCGGUAAAUAUCGCCGGUGCGGUUACGAUCGAUUGUCACUAGUCGAUGCUCGUCAGAGAGACGAAUUAGCUGAUGGUACCGAUGAGUCAACUCGCGAGCCGUAAUUAGGAAAUUCGGUAAUCUGGAGAAGAUGAGCACGUGACUAGCACGUGGAAAAUUUAAUACUUUAUCUUUAUAAUUAAGCCCUUCAACUAUUGAUUAGAUUUGAUUAUGUUCCCCCAUGAUACAAUUAUAGUAUUCAACUACCACACGGGUGUUGUAAAAUAAAUAAGGAUCUGAUGUUCUUCUUCUUCGUUUAUAUAUGAAGGUUGAUCCAUGGAGAGAGAGAUAUGAGAUAUUGACUUUUAUAAUAUAUGUAUGUAUUACGUGAGAGAGAGUUAAAAGAUGAGUCUUUUUCUUCUUAUUAACUUCACCUUCACCUUCACGUUGGACCGGGCUUUCUCUCUCUUUUAAAAAUUCUCUCGCCUCUCUCUUCCCCUAAUUUAGGGUUUUCGCCGUUUCUCACCGUUUUCCGGCGGUCGCCGCGUGCCGUUUAAGGCGACCGCCGGACCCCCUCUCGUUUUUUUUCUUUUCUUUUACUUGUCUUCUCCGUCUCUCUCCCUCGUAUGUCCUCGUCUUCUUCGGCUUCCUGAAUUUCGUCGUCGGUUUCUUGUUCGGUUUAGAUCUGGAUCUUUCUCUUGCUUAUGGGUCAGGCCGUCGUGUGUUGCAGCGCUUGAGGACUGCGUCUGCACCUCAACGGCUCUGUGUCUUCGGCAUAGGGGGAGCUCUGGCUGACAAGGUUUUCCAGCUUGACGCGUAUCGGGUUGAGUGUUGGAGCAUGGUGGUAAUGAGAUCCCGAUUCGUCCUCUGUCAGAUCCACUUGUUUGGUUGCGCGGCGGUGGUGUUUGAUGGGUCGUUCUCGGGUUGAGCUUCAGACUGCGCGGUUCUUGAGCUUCUUAUCUCUUCUUCCUGCUGGUGAUCUCUGGUGGGCGCGUGUGAGUGUGACGGUCCUUGGUCUUCCCGACUCCGGCAUGCUCAGGUGAGAACGCGCGUGGACGCGGUGGCGCGUGUGGCGACGCGUACGACAGCGCGAGUGGCAGCGCGUGUGUCCGGCGAGAUCUUCAUUUUCGCUGCUUCUUAGCAGUGGCUCCGGUUUACCGGUGUGGGUUCCUGGCCUCGUCCUUGGUGCUGCUUAUCUCCUUCACUCUCAAUAAAGUAAACGGUUUUUGGUCAUCUCGUAUGGUGUUGUGGACCCUGCCUGUCUAGCCGAGCGGCAGUUGGACAUUCGACCCGCUCUCUCUCCUGCGGUGUGCCUCCGGAGGGUUAGUUACUUGGCGGUCCGCUCUCUCUAUAUGAGAUUUCGGUUCAAUGGGUGUAACGGUCACGGCGGAGUGGAUUGGAGGCGGCAAUCUUCAGGACGCUUCUCCGAACGACGACAUCGUCGCUAGGUGGUUUUCUCUCGUGCCGUCGGACGUAUACUGUCGGGUGCUUUGGUGUGUGUUCGUGCUUGGAUUCUUGGUCCGUUUCAGGGUUUAGGUGGGGUUUUCGGAAGCUGCAGGAGCCGUAGCAUCAAGGUUUGAGGGCGCCUUUCUCUCGGUAGCUCGUGGUGCCCGGUGCUCGACCUCGACCAGUUCCGGUUUCUUUGGUCUGAGCUUGUCUCGUUGCUUAGCUGGUUGUAAGGCUUUGUUCCGCUCUCUUUCGAGCUGCGUCAGUUUCCGUUUCGUUUUGUUGUUUAGUUUAUUUUCGGUUCUCCGCUACAAGUUGUCUUUGUAUCUUCUGUCACAAAUCUGAAAAUUGGUAUAAUAAUUUAACAUUUUACCAAAAAAAAAAAAAAAAAAACGUAAUCUCCCUCUGAGAAUAGUGGACCUAGCUUUCUUGUCACAGGUCACGCAUAUGCCGCAUUCCGAUACCAUAAAAGUGUUUUCGAAAUGUUGUAGUCGGAAGAGUUUUUGUAAACAAGGCAGCCGGAUUGUCGCAUGACCGUACAUACUCGAUGUCCACCUCUUUAUUUUUCUCGAGCUCCCUUAUGUACGAGAAAAAUCUUGGAGGGAUGUGCUUUGUUCUGUCACUUUUGAUGUAGCCUUCUUUGAGUUGAGCAACACAAGCCGAGUUGUCUUCAAAUAUUUUUGUCGGCUUUUUCUCGUUGACUACUCAGUUUGAUUCUUGUAUGUGGUGACUCAUUAACUGAAGCCACACACAUUCUCGACAUGCUUCGUGAAGCGCAAUAGUCUUUGUAUGAUUCGAAGAUGUCGCAACCAAAUUUUGUUUCUGGGACCGCCAAGAGAUCACGGUUCCACCAAGUUGUAAAACCAUAUCCGGUUUGCACUCGACUUUAUAAAUAGCAUGUAUCUGCAAAACCAUACCAAACUCGGGGUUUCUAGGAUAAACCAAUUCUGAAUCAAUACGUACCUUGGAGAGAACUGACAUGUUCUCGACGCCACUCUAAUUUCCAUAAAUAGGAAAUGAGAUGUAUCUUGCAAAGACAUUAGUGUCUAAACGUAUAUUUAAUCAAAUACAACUCGCAAGAUAUAUAAGCUCACAUAUGCUUUAUUACCAUUAGCAUCUCCAAAGUACUUAUUUAUAUAAGAUCUUACCAGGAUCUUUUAAACAUCUCUUUAAACAUCGAGAGAUCUAUCUACUAUUGAAGUACUCAAAGGAGUCGCUUUAUUCAUACAAAAGCGUUUUAAUAACCUUUUUGUAUAGUUUGAUUGAUGCACAAAUAUUCUUUCUCGGAAAUGCUCUAUCUGGAGCCCAAGACAAAACUUUGUCUUGCCGAGAUCUUUCAUUUCGAACUCCUCUUUCAUAUGAGUUCGAGCAUCAUCAACCUUCUUUUGAGUUCCAAUUAUGUUCAGGUCAUCUAUAUAUACAACAAUGAUCACAAAACCAGAUGACGAUUUCUUUAUAGAAACGCAUGGACAUAUCGCAUUAUUAACAUAUCCCUUUUUCAAGAUAUAUUCACUUAAGCGAUUGUACCACAUGCGUCCGGAUUGCUUUAAUCCUUAUAGUGAUCGCUGUAACUUGACCGAACAAAUCUCCCCGGAUUUUUCUUUCAAUGCUUCUUGCAUUUUCAAUCCCUCAGGGAGCUUCAUAUAUAUAUCGUUAUCCAACGAUCCAUACAAAUAUGCAGUCACAACGUCCAUGAGAUGCAUUUCAAGAUUUUUAGACGCCGUUAGGCUCAUCAAAAAUCUAAACGUAAUUGCAUCCAUUACAUUAGCAUCAGGUUCUCUUUGAACCUUUCCACUUAUGUCUUCUUUCAGACAUUUUUUACUAUCAAGUUCUUCAGGAACUUUGCAACUUUUCUUAACCAAUUUCUUUCGGGGGUUUUUUAUCUCUAGAACCCGCUAGUCUCCCCCUCUUUAACUGAACCCUAGGUUCAUUUUAUUUCCAUCAGUUUGUUCUUUAGGAACAUCAACUCUUGAUGGAAUAUUUUCAGCGGGUAUAUCAUAUCGUAUUUGUGAACACAUUUGGUAACUGGUUUGUCAAAUUAUGCAAGUGCACAAUUUUUUGAACUUCCAGCUCUCUUUGAUUUGUAGGGGGACCAAAGUGCAACAACGAAUGUGUACACCAUGUAAUUUAUUUAGGAAUUUCUCAAAUUCCUCCCCUAACGCUGGAAUUCAUUCUCAUUAAAAUGACAAUUGGCAAAUAGUACCGUAAACAUAUCACCAGUUACUGGUUCAAGAUACCUUAUAUACGGCUUGCUCUAACUCUUCUAGAGUUUUAUACAUUCCCGAGAGCAUCUUUAACUCUCCAGGGACUACUAAAUAUCAAGAUGCAACUCAAGUCGUUUUUGUCCUGCCAGACAUUUCAAUAUAUUGCAUCUAUUUUAAAUUUUCUCCAGUGACCUUGGAACAAGCCGUUUUUCAUACCUCAAGGUCAUCUUUUAUUUCAUUCUUUGGAGAAAUAUAUACCUUGGACUUUUGGUCCAAAAAUCUCUCGUUUUUCUAACGAGCUUUAUAUCGAAUUGAUGGCCAAUCAAUUCACUCUACCCUCAUACAUUGAGGUAGAUUCAUAAGCCUUAUUUAUAGCGCUUUUUCAUUUAUUUAUUAUCGACAAUCUAUUUUCUCUUUGGUUCCAUCUUUUUAUCCGUACUGAUAUGGUUAAUCGAGAUCUCUUUAUCAUCAUUGAUGAUUUACCCAGGUACCUGACUGUUAUAUUAACCAUAUCAACGGUCUCAUCAUGAGAUUCAUCCUCUAUUUAUAUUUUUGCUCCUUUUCGAGGACUCUUUGGAACCAAAGUGGUAUAUCACGUCUCUAGCAUGCCAUAGACUCAUAUAUCGUCCGUUUAGGACACUAUUUUUUUUAUUGGAGCAUUUUCAGCUGGAAUAUGAGAUUUCAUUAUUUCAUCAAAAUGUCUGGCAGGCAUUUUGGAAAUGGAUUAUCCUACUUUUCGUUGUAAUUCAUUUCACAUAUCUCAUUCCAUCAGCUUAUCAUAUGCUUCUAGCAAACUUGCGAGCAUAUUUCUAAGUAUCCAUAUACUUUAUCCCUCUGGAUUGUAUAUGUCUUUAUUACAUGCACAACUGCAUGUUUACACCCGAUCAUGGGGAUCAUCUUACUUGAAUUUACUUUAUCAAGUUCUUUUUCAAGUGCGAACAUAAUUUUUCAAUGUUCCACUCACUAGGAUUCUUUAAUUCUCCCCCUCGAGAUGAUGACACUCCAUGUCUAAAAUCUCGUACUGAAUCCCACUCUAGAACCAAUAACAUAUUCAGUUUUUCCAUUUGGGAUGAAUUAUGUUUCAAAUCCUUUAGAGUGAGAUCUUAAUUUGGGGUCUGCUUAAAGAAAUCACAUAUUGUGAACUUGUUUGAUGAUUCAUCACCCAUGAUGGUUUCCUUUAUUUUCUUGACAUGCUAUAUGUGAAAAACUUCUGGUUUUUCAACAUUUCACAAUAAUGUCGAUAACAUUAUUGGAGAUGGCUAUAUAUCAGUAAACUUCAGGUUUACCACUCAUUUAUAAUUUUGCCAUCUUUUUCUUAUGCAUGUCUUUUUAUCAUAAGCUCUUCUAGAGCCAAUAAUAUGUUUAUAUUACUAGAUACUAUACUUAUUUAAUUUGAAAGAGGAAAGAUAUUUGUUACCUUUAGUAGUCAUGACGAUGACCCAAUACCUGUCAGGUAUAUUUUUCUCCAUCCUGAAUCUCAAAAUCUUAUUCAGGAAAAUAAUUCUCAUUUCACAUCGAUAUUUUAUUUUCAUUUUCUGGACCAACCAGAAAAUCUGAAUCAUCAAGAUGAGUAUUCAAGCUAUGAAAGAUGGUUCGGGCUCAUAAGAGACGAAGUUUAAUAUACUUCCUUUCUCUUUUUCUUUUUGAUUCUCGAUAUAGAUCGGCUAAAUAUUUGGCAUACGACAACUACGUACCCAAUUUUCUUUCUAGCCGUAUCUAUAGCAAACCUUUUAUGUUUGCCUUUUAUCACCCGACCACUUUUAUUUUCGUGGAAGUUCUAACUAUUUCGCAUGGACGGAAUAUUCUUCCUCGUCCACUUCCACGACCACGAUAGGGGGUUUCAACCGUAUCUACACCCUCGUCCUUUUCUAAUAGGACCGACUUGAUGGUUUAGUAUCAUGAUUUCAUUUCCCUUAUUUUUAGUUUUCAAGGAGGAUUUUCAUCAACUCCAACUAUUUAUUGAAUCCUUUCUUUCAAGGAUUUAAUUAUUCAAAGAUCUUCUAGAUCUUUUUUCAUGAUACACCUCAUCUUAUAAACCAUCAUUAAAAUGGUGUAAAUUAUCAUGGCUUUAUCCUUUUCUCAUCCGAUAUUAGAUUAUAUCGAUGAUUUCUCAAAGCUCAUUUUCUCUCAGGUGCAUCUUUGCACCCACUGCCCAAGCCUUAUAAUUAUUUCUCGUAAUAUCAAGGGCAUUUAUUUUGAGCUUUGUCAAAAUUCACUUGAUAACAUUAUUCGUAGAAUAAUACUAUAAUAAAGACGAGAAUUUAAAUGCAUAAAUUAAAAGCAUAAAAUAAAUGCAUAAAUUAAAUUACAGAAAUUUAAAUAGCAUAAAUAAAAUCGGGAGGCUCAGCCUACCACAUGAUCCGAGGAGUCAUAGACUACCAUAUUGAUCAUUUUUCAAAGUCCGAGGAGACAUGGUCUACCAUUUUGACUUUAUUUAUUUUAAGGUCCGAGGAGACUUAGUCUACCAUUUUUGACUUUUUAUUCACGGAGGCAAAGCCUACCACGUGUUUCUCUGAUCGUGAAGGCAUAGCCUACCAUAACGAUCAGUCGGGGAAGGCAGCGCCUAUCAUCCCGAACGGAGAAGGUCCAGCCACUCACUCCGAAACAAUAAUAAAAUUUUAAUAAAUUAAGUGUAUUGAAAUACAUAAAUUUAAACAUUACCUCGGCUGGUUUGAGAACUUUCGGAUUGAUAAACUUCAGUUGGUCAGAGUCUCGUGCUGAUAACGUGUUGUAAAAUAAAUAAGGAUCUGAUGUUCUUCUUCUUCGUUUAUAUAUGAAGGUUGAUCCAUGGAGAGAGAGAUAUGAGAUAUUGACUUUUAUAAUAUAUGUAUGUAUUACGUGAGAGAGAGUUAAAAGAUGAGUCUUUUUCUUCUUAUUAACUUCACCUUUACAAAUGAACAUGAGAGCAAUAUAUAUAGGGGAAGAAGUCGGUUAGAUUGACCGACUUAAUACAAAAAGACAAGACAAGAUAUUUUGCUUAAUGGAUAAUCAUUAUCCAAAGUUAGUCUUAUUUCUAAGACAAGUGUCCAUUAGGUGGACAAUGGAUAAUCACAAUUCUUAACAACGGGAUGAUUAAUUGCCAAGUUUUUAGAAUAUAAAGUAGGGUACAAUUGAAAAAUAACUUUGUACUUUAUAACAUGAGCCAAUAUGGAAACCAUAAAACAAUCAUGUAAUUUUGAAAAGCAUAUCCAUAUUGUUGUAGCUCGAAAAAAAUAGUAUAAAUAAUCUACUCUAUUAAUUUAAAGUCCUACUUUUUAUCUACUUAAAAAUAUUGUCAUUUAAAUUUGGACUUAUUCACAUUUCAUUAGCAAUAGAUAUAACAUCCCUUAUAAUUUAGUUAUACAAUAUAUAUUUCAUUUAUGCAUUAUCUAAUAUAUAUAUAUAUAGAAACUUAUUUGGGAUCAAACUGUUAUAUAAGUCUCAAGAAAAAAAAUUAAGUGUUAUAUUUCAUUUUUCAACUUCUAAUAUUUCACAUCAAACAAAAAAAUCAGUUUUAUUAACAACGUAUGGUCUAACCAUUUUUCAUGAUGGGACUAAACCUAUACUAACCAAAAUCCUUUUAUUAAUCCUUUUAAACAUGAUUUUAAUUGUUUAGAUUACUUGUGGACAUUCUCAUGAUCAAAACAAAAACAACCAUUAUGUAUAAACUACAGUUGCAAGUUAGCUUUUAUGAGAAAUAAACUAUCUUAUAUACUUGUAAUCAAAAUAAAUAUGACCAAUGCUCAUAUGCAAACAAUCAUGGGCUUUGUUUAUAAUGUAAAAAAAUGAUAUUUUUAUUAAAUAUUUCAUAUGUUCUAGAUCUUUGUUUAUGAUGUGAAAUGUCAUCUAUUAAUUAAUAUAUAUUUAUACUAAUUUUAUCCAGAUAAAUAUAUAUCCAUCAAUCCAAAUAAUUUUUAAAAUAGGAUGUCAAUAAUAUAUUUAGUAACAAGAAAUUAUUUUUACUAAAUCUUAACAUUGUAUUCAAAAAUCAAAAAAAAAUUGAAAAUAUUUUUGGUUGACAAAUAAUAAUUUAUUAGAAUAUUCUCCCUAUAUAUUCUUUGAAACUUCUAAAUCUGAAUAUUUUUUUAAUUAAGAUAACUAGGGGGUUUUCCGGGCUACGCCCGGAUUUUUUCUAUAAUAUUAGUUUAAUUUUUAUAUUUAUAUUUAAAAACGAACAAAUAUGAUAUAUACUGAAACUUGUUAUAGAAUUAUAAACAUAAAUGCAAAUUUAAAACUAUUUGAAAUAAUUUAUUGUGUUUUAUUGGUGUUUUAUGUUGGAUAUUAGUAAGAUUAUUAAAAAGUUUAACUAAAUUAUAAGUUAAGAUCUAUAUAUAUAUAUUCUUUAUCUUGGUUAUUUCUUUUUAUGUAAAACAAUUGUACAGCUUAUAAUUAGUACUGUAUAAAUUUUGAUUGGUUUUAAAAUUAUUAAGUUUCAUUUUUGUACUUGUCUUUAAAAGAAAGUACCACCGAUUUGUAUACCGUUUCUUUAUUUGUUGUCUUCAAUUUAUCGUUUUAACCAAAACAAUUUUGUCAACCUUCUUAACCAAAAUUUAAAUUAACAUUUAUUGUUGCUAUUUAAUUUCUUUGUUUUUUUUUUAAGUUUGUUUGUGAUAGAAAGAAAAUUUUGCUUCAUGAUUUGAAAUAUUUUUAGUUGUAAAUUUAUAGAAGGUUUACUUUCUUACCGUUGUUGAUGUAAUAUUAAUUUAACAGUUUCUUGUUUUAAUUAUUUAAUUAAUCAGAUUUUUUGGAAAUAAUUUUGAAUGUUAAUACUAUUAUUUUUCUGUUUGCUGGAUAGUGUUUGUGUGCUCGGUCAUCCCUUUAUGCAAGGCUGAGAUACUUGCUCAAACAUGGUUUUGAAUGACCUUUCGAAAACAGGUAUGAGUGAAGACUUCAAACCUAACUUAAAAGCUUUUUGAAAUUUAUAAAUGGUAGAUAUAUACAAAAAUUAUCACUGUCUUAGGUCUGAAAUUAGGUUUUAAAUCAAAAAUUCUAAAGAACUCUUAACUUAAAUUUGAUUUAACACAUUGCAAGACAUUUUGUGUGUUUCUGAAAAUAAUUUAUAUACAAAAACGGUUUAAGAAUUCUAACUCCUACGGUUUGAUCAUGUCCUAUAAUCUGAGUUGCAAACCUAUAAACUGCAUUAUUUUUAUUCUCGUAUUUGCCUCACUUCUUUUUGUGUGUCAUGACCUUUUUUUUAGGUUCCAUGACCUUUGUCUAUGAUGCUUUGAUAGUAUUGUGUACAAACUCAAUAUUAAAUUUUACUUUAGUUAUACACAUUCUAAGUUAUUAUCCAGGCUACACAUGUUUAUAUUAAUAAUUUGUUUAUAAUAAUUUUUUUUUUGUCAGCAAACAAACAGACUCAUAUAGACUCUGUGAACCAAACUGGUAGCUCCGCAUCCAUGUAGACUACAAACGAGGGUUGUUUUCUUGCACUGCGUGCUAGACUAUCCGCCCUUGUGUUUAGCGUCCUUCGUAUAUGGAUGAGCUCUGAGCUGUGGAAACUUCUUUGCAGGAUCUUGAUAUCUUCUAAAUAACUUGCAAAUGCGGGCCAUUCUUCGGGUUCAGAAACCAUCUUCACCAACUGAGAACAAUCCGUCGCAAAAGUAACAUUAUAUUGUCUUAAGUUCCUCAUACAUUCCAUUGCCCAUAUGAGCGCCUCUAUCUCCGAGUGCAGUGGGGAUUGACCCGCUCUAGUAUUCCUUGCUCCCAUCAAACUGUCAAAACCUUCUAGAGUACUACACCAUCCUUGUCCCGAAAACCGAUCAUUUUCCUUCUAUGAACCAUCCGUGAAACACCAUCUACCGGAAAUAGUAGGCAAUGUCGCAUUCUCUACCAAUCAGGUCUGAUCAGAUCCCUGUAUAUUUUUAAUUUGCGCCUCAGCCCAGAGGGCCGAUUCUGUUUCCGCCAACUUGAGGGUAUCGCGGGGAUCAAUAUCCAAAUUGCUAAAAACCUUAUUGUUCCUUCCUUUCCAUAUAUACCAUAGGAUCCAUGCAAAAUGAUUAUCGUCCAUUGGUGGAGACACCCUCCAAAAUAAAUGAUCCAUAUUUGCAAAUAGUGAUUGCAGGGGAAAUAAAACUGGGUUUGACGGAAUCCGUGACAAUGCCCAAACCUGGAUUGCUGGAGGGCAUUCAAAAAAUACAUGAUUGAUGGACUCCUCAGGUGCUCCACAUCGUGCACAGAUCGUAUCCCCUUGAAUACCUCGAGACCUUAGAUUUUUCUUUACCGCUAUGCAACCUGUAACCAAUUGUCAAAGAAAAUGUUUUAACUUUGGUGGACAGCGCACUUUCCAACAUUGUGCUUUCAAUAAAGAAACUGAUGGGCCAUAUUCUGGUGGUGGCCUAACUUUGUCUGGAUACACUCGUUCCACCUCAUAUCCUGAUUUAACUGUAUAUCUCCCAUUCAUUGUAAAAUGCCAGCCAUCCCGAUCCGCUGUCCGAAACCGGCCUAACGGUAUACUCUCAAUUAUCUGCGCAUCAUUCGGGUCCACUAGAGUCCUGAUAACCUGUGAAUUCCAUGUUCUUGAUGUUUCAUCAAUAAGAGAAUCCACCGUGAGGUCCGGGAAAAGGUUGUGUUGAUUUUUGUUUGCUGGUCUCGGGCGGGUGGAUGGGAGCCAAGGAUCAUUCCAUACUGAAAUAGAUGAUCCUGAUCCCACCCUUUUGAUUAGUCCUUUGCUAACCAGAGAUCUAGCUGAGACAAUACUACGCCAGCCAUAAGAUGACGAGUAAGAUCUAAUUGGUUCCAGGGGUGAAGCAUUCCUGAAAUACCUUCCUUUGACAUCUUUUUCCCCAAAAAAAUUACUGUUUAAAUAAAAUAUGUUCUAUAAAUAUUGAAUAAUUUGAACACUAAUUGUUUUUGUUACAGGAUAUUAUUAUUAGCAUAUUGUUUACAGUUCCAUAAUCUUAAUAUAUGACUGCUGCUACUGAUGUUUAGAAGGACUAUGCUUUUGAUUUCAAAUUGCAAAAUUCUUGAUCCAUUGGUUAUAACAAAUUUGGUUUAGUGUCCUAAACUUUUGAGAGUUCCAAAUUUGGUUUAGUGUCCUAAACUUUUGAGAGUUCCAAAGAUGUGGACGUGGACACUCUAGAUGCUAUAGCUCAAUCCCUUUUCUAUAUUGGGAUUAUUAUCGAGCAGAGUAGCUAACAUUAAACUCUCGAGCUUCCAAUUGUACUUAAACUCUUAAUUUGCACAUGAUUAUAAGAAUAAGAUCAUCAAGAGUAGAAUCGAAGGAGUAUAAGCAGCAUAAGAUUGUGUAGACCAUAUAAACACAGCACCCAUGUGACCUGAGAUAAAGGAACAUAGACGACAACGGGCUCACCAAGUUCCUUAAGUGGCACAUGCCUUAAUUUUUUUUUAUCAGCACCAUUAACAUCAGUCGGUAAAUCUACGUUGAAGUUUGCAUCCUCUUGUCUUCUACUAUCAGGAAGAAUUGUUCACGUAUAUGAUGGAAGAAUGGCUGUUUAGAGUAGAUUUCUGACAAUAUAUUUUAGAAACUCUCAGGAGCUAACCUUCUGGUAAGCUUUGACCAUAACUUCUCUCACUUCUUUCAAGGGUUUUACUUGAUUCUGCAGAGACCAGACCACAGUCACAUCAUAUACAUAAAGUGAUUAUUACAUAAUUAUUAAAAAUGAUAUUUACUCAUGCAACUGCACCUGUAUAUCAGUAAUAGCAUGAUUAGCUUGAAGCUGAAAGAAAGAAUUGCUGAGAAGAUUCUUAAUAUUACCAUUUUCACUCCACAACUGAUUUAGAAGCAUGUUAUUAUAGCUCAAAUGGAAGACCCUUAAGAAUAUAAGAAACAAAACAGUCUAGGUCGAUCAGUGGGUUAAUCAUUUUACAUCUUAUGGAUAUAAUAUAUACUAUCAGAUACUUACUAAUGAACAUAAACAAAAAAAAUUAUCACUUCCUUUGAGAAUCAUAGCAAACAGUGGGUUCCACCUUCUCAUUAUCAGGAUUAUAAUACUACACAAACAAAUUGACAGUCAUUUUUUCUACAAUUUUGAUAGAAUAAGCAAAAGGUAUUUUGGACAGGAAGCUAAAACCUUCGUUCUCAAAAAUAAGAUGUGGCUUUUAGCCUUGCCUCAAUCUUGUUCCACUUUUGAAGAACCCCGCGAGCACCCUGUUAAUUUGUAUUGAGAAAAGCUAUUGAGCCAACCAAUCCAAACAAAAGUCAGAGAAAAAGAGUUGCAUAAAGAGCAAGAAAGUGUUUGUGAAUGUACUACUUACACUUUCUUCGAUGAUGACAGAGCCUUUUAAGUUUUUUUUUCCUCGAGAAAGGGACGGCUCUGCAUAAAUAUCCAUGCUUCUGUAGCACAAAGCUGCUUGAAGUGUUUCAUGAUCAUAUGGUGAGAUAUGACGCUAAGCCGAGGGAAACCACAUAGCAGCGCAAGCUGGAACACAUCAAGUACAUUCUCAGUGUUACGCAAACCAUGUUGUAAAAGACAUCCACAGAGCAUUUCAGCUGACGAACCACGUACGCGUCACGGAGGCAGCAAAUUCAUCAAAAAAAAAGUCAGCUUUAAUCUUUAUUAAGAGAAUGUUAGAAGAAGUGAAGCAAUAUUUUGUACUAAGAGUAAUGGAAACAAAUAAAAACGCAUACCACAGAUUGAUUGAGACUGUAUGCAACUUGCCAUGUCUUUUGGCUUACUUUUGAUAUCACAGUCGAUCCCUGUUAAUUUAAAAACAUAAAAGAGACAGAUUUAGUUUGUAUUCGGUUAAUUAAAGAUCUGAACUACCCAACGAAUAAGUUUUAUAAGUAGGGCUUUACAAUAGUAUUUGCACGAAUUUUUAAAGACGAAGAUAGCAAUAGGAAUUUGAAGAGGUAUUCUAGAGGCUGUACGAACUUGAAUAAGGGAUGAAGAAGGUGGGUUAAGCUGAAAUUAAGAUAUGAAUAAAUAAAGGAUUGGAUGAUUGAGAGUAAAUACUUAAUAGUUAUAACUUCAACGAAACAGAGAGUUGCAGAAAUCAAUCGGCAACACCAUGGAGAAGUGGAAGAGGCAAAACGAUAUCGACGGUCAUUGGGUGAAGAAAGAGAGUUGGGCUUAUGGCUACAACAAAAUAUUAACAGGCCAUACUCAGCCCGUGUAAAUUUUAUGCUGCGUAAAAGAAUGUAUAUGUGGCAAAUAAAAGCUUUUUCAUUGGCCUGAAUAAAAAAUCUGACGUGGCAUGCUGUAUGCUCUGCAUAUUCGGCUUUUAGUAGUGUUAGAUGCAUUCUUUUAACAAAAUGUUUUAGCAAUAGUGUUUCCUAAAAACAUUUUUAUUUAUAUUUAAUUUAUUUGCUCGUGUGGGACAUGGCAUCUCUAAUCCAUUAUUGCACACUGUUAAUUCAUAUUUUCUUGGCCAUAGUUGACCAAAAAAAUUUGAAGCUCACACUUUUUACAUUACUAAGAGAAAAUGAUGUAACUAUGAACUCAAUCUUGAUUACUGGUCUAAUUAGAACGAUAUUUGAAACUCGCACUCUUUAGAGCACCCGCAAUGGUGUUACUCAAAUGGGAGUCCUUAGAAAAAGUGUAUUUUGAUUUUUUAAGUAUUAUUAUUUUUAUUUUUUUUAGAUAAAAAAAUAAAUAUCAACCAAUCAAUCGCGGGUCGCCACGUGUCGUCGGGACCCGCAAAUAGUGCAAGGAUUCACUAAGAAAGAGUCCUUAUUUAGGAAUUUUAAGGAUUGAGUCCUUAGUUUUUGGUGGGAUCUACCGAUUAUUUAAUUAUUUUUUUCUCUAAGGACUCCCCCUUAAGGAUUCCCAUUGCGGAUGUUCUUACAUUAUUAAAAAAAAAAGAUGAAUCUAUAAACUUGAAUCAUGUAUUUUAUGAGUUUAAAUGAGUAAAUAAACAAUAAUAAUAAUCUGGAGGAAAGUUUAUACAAACCUUCAAUUUUGUUUUUGUUGAGAAAUCAAACAUUAGAAAUAGAUGAUUUGGAAUUCAGUAAACCUCAAGAAAAACAAGAUUCAUAUAUGGUAGGUAUAGUAGACCAAAAAUAAGAAGCAUAACCAUUCAAAAACACUAACUUCUUUUAAAUCCGCGCUUAGCGCGGAUUAAGAAUCUAGUUGUAAUUAAAAUCUUAUAUUUUGCGAUUUGUUUAUGUUUAUGCAUCAUACAUGACAACGUUCUGAAAUUUGACAGACUCACAUUUAGGGCCUGACUGGUUCAAACGCAGCGGUUGUGGUUGCGGUUGCGGGAGUUUGUGGAUUCGGGCGGUUGCGGUUUCUAGCGGUUUUAAGAGAUUCGUACGACUGGUACUGCGGUUAAAUAUUGGUGUGUUUACGGGUGACUUAUGACUGGUUAACUACCAAAUGCGGUAACAAUCAAAUAAUAAAUUAACUAUACUUACAUUUAAUAUAAUUAUAAAAAUAUCAAAAAUCAUAAAAUUAUAAUAAAUAUAAAAUUUAUAUUUAGAAAGUUAUAAUUUUAAUUUUUGAAAAUUUAUUGAAAUUGUUUUUAUUAUAAAAUUUUAUAAUAUUAAUUAAAAUAUAAUAGAUAUAUUUUAAUAUUUUCAUAAUUUCAAUUUUAAAUUUUUUAUUAAAUAUUUUUACUUUUGUAUAUAUAUUGUUUUAAAAAAAAAAGAAAAAAAUUGUACCCCUCCCACAACCGCCCGCAACCGCAAACGCUAACUGGAGCCAGCUUUUGAAUUUAUGAGAUUCUGAGCGGUUUGAAACGGUUUAGAGUGAUUUGAGUGAUUGUUACAAACCGCCGACAACCGCUACCAACCGCAAAAGCUGCGUUUGCGGGUGAUAGCGGAAAAACCAGUCGCCCCCUUAAAAGAAAAGAUGCAAACUCAGAAUAACCAGCGGUGGUAGUCCAGUGGUGUUUGAGAGAAAUAAAUCCAAUACGGCAAACCAUGGUUAGAAUCCCGCUGGCCACACGGAUAUGGAUUAUUUCUUUGCUUUCGGCUCAUUUAAAUGCCUAAAAAAAGGUCUAUCCGUUGGUUGUACCUCCAUCUGCUCCAUCUGGAAAUUAGCUCUGUAUCUUUAAUAAACUCGGAUUUAACCCUUUAUUUUAAAAAAAAUGCAGACUCAGAAUAUUGCUUCCAAUUUUUUAAAAAGAUAUCUCAUACAAUCAUUAUAUUAUACAAUAAUAAUCAUAAGAGAUUCAUCGAUCUUUAUUUGUAACUCUUAUUAGGGGAAUACAAUUUGGCAAACAAAAAAAACUCUGAUAAAAAAAACUCUUAUUAGGGGAAAACAAAACAUCUUCGUGAUUUGGAUUUGUAUGACACAUGUUCUUGGAGCCACCACCCAUAUAGAUUUUGAUUUGAAUGACAACCGCCUUACUGUAUAAAGGUCUUAUAAUUAUUUGAGGGUUAUAAACUGGAAAGAUUCGCCGUCAUGCAUGUUGUUGCUUAGCCUAAUCUUCCUUAGUUCUCCAUCGCUGAUAGGCUUGUAUAGACGUGGAUGUUCAGCAUCCACAAAUUCACUUGGAGGCUCAACAACUUCAUCCAUUGGUAUUAAUAGGAAGGUGGAGAUGGUAAUCCUCAUUUUUGCUUCUUUGCAUUGCACUCUAUGCUUCACAUUGCACAGCCUCCCAUUGCUCCAUAUCUUUCGGUUAAAUAUUGGUGUGUUUACGGGUGACUUAUGACUGGUUAACUACCAAAUGCGGUAACAAUCAAAUAAUAAAUUAACUAUACUUACAUUUAAUAUAAUUAUAAAAAUAUCAAAAAUCAUAAAAUUAUAAUAAAUAUAAAAUUUAUAUUUAGAAAGUUAUAAUUUUAAUUUUUGAAACUGCUCCAUCUGGAAAUUAGCUCUGUAUCUUUAAUAAACUCGGAUUUAACCCUUUAUUUUAAAAAAAAUGCAGACUCAGAAUAUUGCUUCCAAUUUUUUAAAAAGAUAUCUCAUACAAUCAUUAUAUUAUACAAUAAUAAUCAUAAGAGAUUCAUCGAUCUUUAUUUGUAACUCUUAUUAGGGGAAUACAAUUUGGCAAACAAAAAAAACUCUGAUAAAAAAAACUCUUAUUAGGGGAAAACAAAACAUCUUCGUGAUUUGGAUUUGUAUGACACAUGUUCUUGGAGCCACCACCCAUAUAGAUUUUGAUUUGAAUGACAACCGCCUUACUGUAUAAAGGUCUUAUAAUUAUUUGAGGGUUAUAAACUGGAAAGAUUCGCCGUCAUGCAUGUUGUUGCUUAGCCUAAUCUUUCUUAGUUCUCCAUCGCUGAUAGGCUUGUAUAGACGUGGAUGUUCAGCAUCCACAAAUUCACUUGGAGGUUCAACAACUUCAUCCAUUGGUAUUAAUAGGAAGGUGGAGAUGGUAAUCCUCAUUUUUGCUUCUUUGCAUUGCACUCUAUGCUUCACAUUGCACAGCCUCCCAUUGCUCCAUAUCUUUUAAGAAAGUUUCAAAAACCAACAGCUAAAACCGAGUUUUUGUGGUUUAAAGUCAAAACAUUAUUG
rnacentral:lncRNA from 1 species